rfam:Schistosoma rodhaini strain Burundi genome assembly, scaffold: SROB_scaffold0001953
AUCCAGUUGAUGAGUCCCAAAUAAGACGAAACGCGCAUCCUGGAU